rnacentral:rRNA from 1 species
GACGAACGCUGGCGGCGUGCUUAACACAUGCAAGUCGAACGGAAAGGCCCUGCUUUUGUGGGGUGCUCGAGUGGCGAACGGGUGAGUAACACGUGAGUAACCUGCCCUUGACUUUGGGAUAACUUCAGGAAACUGGGGCUAAUACCGGAUAGGAGCUCCUGCUGCAUGGUGGGGGUUGGAAAGUUUCGGCGGUUGGGGAUGGACUCGCGGCUUAUCAGCUUGUUGGUGGGGUAGUGGCUUACCAAGGCUUUGACGGGUAGCCGGCCUGAGAGGGUGACCGGCCACAUUGGGACUGAGAUACGGCCCAGAAUCCUACCGGAGGCAGCAGUGGGGAAUAUUGCACAAUGGGCGGAAGCCUGAUGCAGCAACGCCGCGUGCGGGAUGACGGCCUUCGGGUUGUAAACCGCUUUCGCCUGUGACGAAGCGUGAGUGACGGUAAUGGGUAAAGAAGCACCGGCUAACUACGUG